rnacentral:lncRNA from 1 species
AUGCAUUUGCACUUACAGCAUUUACUGUGCAGUAGCAAUGAUUUGGCCAUUAGCGGGACAACAAAUACAAGGGGGAAACAGUGGCCAAUACUGAGCAUACCUGAACUCUGUUUCUGGAUGUGCGUGUCCAGAUCACUCCUUAGACCCGUUUCCACGAGAAUCUGCAAAGAUUUUUUCACUUUCAGAUGGUAAUUCAAGCCAUGAAUUAUGGGACAGUCCGUAUCCACAUUAUCCCAAGGGAAUCCCUCUGAAAGAAUGUGGCCUCUUUGCUCUUGUAGGUGAGAGGAAAGUUUUCUUCCAACUUGAUGGAAGUACUGCUUCCAUUUGCUGCCAACUCUAUUAAUCUUUUUCCCAAGAGAAAAUAACUAUUCUGUCCUUUUCCACCUUUAAUUUCUCCUGUUUAGGUUUAUUUCUUGUGAAGAGGACCCAUUUUUUUCUCUAAAGAGGCAGUCUUUUCUUGCAACAGCCACUCAAGCAUUAUGAUCUUACCAUGGCUUGGCCCUUCUGGAAAUACUGAAAUGUGAAAAAGGGCACUUGGAUCCCGUGGUGAUGAGCAGACUUAAAAGCACUUUGGUAGAUCAAAAAGGCUGAGUUGCUGAGUUUUGUGGCUUCUGUUUGGAUUUUUUGUUUCAUUUAACCUGUAGUGUCAACACAGCCAAAACUCUGCAAGGCAAACCAGACAGAAAAAGCCAGUUGGGAAAUGACCUGAAACUGUUGUUGGCACCACACUUUAAAAGCGAGCUUUUUUUAUUGUCUGCAAAGCAGACACUGUAGAUCACUACCCUUGUGUUAUUAACUGGUGCAAUGCUGAAGGUUCCUCUGUCAGUGGUAUUUCACAUAGAAAAAGAAAAUCCAAGCAAACUCUCACUUUAGACCUGGGGUUUUAACCUUUUUUUAUAGCAGGAAUUUUUCCUCUUCUGAUUUUCAAGCCAGAGAAAAAUUGUAUCACUGGUCCUGACUCCUUUGUUGGACACAUCAAAUCAAUUAUAAGGCAUGUGCAAAAGACUUCAGAAGUGCUUCAGAGAAUCCUGAUUAUUUUCCUAACGCAUUUACUAUUUUUUAAACCAAUAUCACCAAGAAAGGAAAAAAUCAGUAUCUUCAUUGCUGACAGAAAAACUGCAUGAUCCCUUGAAUUCAGGAAGAGGAAAAGAGGGGGAAAAAAAGAAAAACAAAUGAAUUGGUUGUCUGCUAUGCAACAAUUGCAUUAUAAAAAGAAAAAAAAAGGAGUGAGAAAGACAAAGGCAUUAUAAAUCUACCAAAGAAAUGACGUUUAGAAUGCCCUCUCUUGACCUUUAUUAUCAAGGCACAAAGUGUAUGUUUCUCAGUGUCCAAUUCUUGCUGAACUUAAUCUAAUACACUGUCUACCAUAUUCCCUCCAGGGAAUGCAGUGCCAAACGAACACAAGGUGUUCUCACAUUAAAAUGUUCUAUCAGUAUUGCUGUGGGCUGCAGAGGAUAUUAAGUCAGCCAGUCCCAUUGCUGCUCUACCCUGGAAAAGAGGCCAAAGUUCAACAGUUUCAUUAAUUCAUUCAGGAAGAGAGGAAAGUAAAAACAAACCGAGUAUUUGUUUUCAUUGAUUGUCCAGGCUUCAUUGAUUGUCCAGACAACCGACUCACUUGGUCAUCUUUCCCUUUUUCCCUGUAUUUCCCUUCCCGAAAUCAAGAGAUUUUGGGACCUUUACUGUCUGAAAUAAAGACACUGACAAUAAUUAAAUCA